CGCCCUCACACAUGAUCUUCAUCACUGGCAAAUGAUUGAAUGCAGCUGAAGGUUUUGUUUUAAUGAUUUAAAGGAGAACAAAAGGAGAUGUUAGGAAGAUUGUUAGCCUCGGUCACCAUUCAUUUUCACUAAGAAAGUCAUACGGGUUUGGAACAACAUGAUGGUGAGUAAAUGA